UUGCAGUUAAAAAGCUCGUAGUUGAAUUUCUGGUCAUUCUUAGUGUCGGCUUCGGUCAUGCUAAGGUUGGCCAUCCGUUUGCAAGCUACGCUCGGCCUUCACUGGUUCGGCGUAGUGAGCUGACAUUUUACUUUGAAAAAAUUAGAGUGUUUCAGGCAGGCUUUUGCCCGAAUACAUUAGCAUGGAAUAAUGGAAUCGGACUUUGAUCCAUUUGGUUGGUUAUUGGAUCUGAGUAAUGGUUAAUAGGGACAGUUGGGGGCAUUAGUAUUUAAUUGUCAGAGGUGAAAUUCUUGGAUUUAUUAAAGACUAACUUAUGCGAAAGCAUUUGCCAAGGAUGUUUUCAUUAAUCAAGAACGAAAGUUAGGGUAUCCAAGACGAUCAGAUACCGUCCUAGUCUUAACUAUAAACUAUACCGACUCGGAAUUGGUAGGGUGUUGUAGCUCUAUCAGGACCGUAGGA
rnacentral:rRNA from 1 species